CUGCUAUCGGAUGAUACUAAGCCAUGCGAGUCUUUGUAGUAAUACAAGGCAGACGGCUCAGUAACACGUAGUCAACCUACCCUAUGGACGAGAAUAAUCUCGGGAAACUGAGCAUAAUUCUCGAUAGAUCAUAAUGCCUGGAAUGGUUUAUGGUUAAAAUGAUUCGUCGCCAUAGGAUGGGACUGCGGCCUAUCAGCUUGUUGGUGAGGUAAUGGCCCACCAAGGCGAUUACAGGUACGGGCUCUGAGAGGAGAAGCCCGGAGAUGGGUACUGAGACACGGACCCAGGCCCUAUGGGGCGCAGCAGGCGAGAAAACUUUGCAAUGUGCGAAAGCACGACAAGGUUAAUCCGAGUGAUUUCUGCUAAAGAAAUCUUUUGCCAGUCAUAAAACCACUGGUGAAUAAGGGGUGGGCAAGUUCUGGUGUCAGCCGCCGCGGUAAAACCAGCACCUCAAGUGGUCAGGAUGAUUAUUGGGCCUAAAGCAUCCGUAGCCGGCUUUGUUAGUUUUCGGUUAAAGCCAUGUGCUCAACGCAUGGGCUGCCGAAAAUACUGCAUAGCUAGGGAGUGGGAGAGGUAGACGGUACUCAGUAGGAAGGGGUAAAAUCCUUUGAUCUAUUGAUGACCACCUGUGGCGAAGGCGGUCUACCAGAACACGUUCGACGGUGAGGGAUGAAAGCUGGGGGAGCAAACCGGAUUAGAUACCCGGGUAGUCCCAGCUGUAAACGAUGCAGACUCGAUGAUGCAUUGGCAUAAUAGCCAGUGCAGUGUCGCAGGGAAGCCGUUAAGUCUGCCGCCUGGGAAGUACGUACGCAAGUAUGAAACUUAAAGGAAUUGGCGGGGGAGCACCACAAGGGGUGAAGCCUGCGGUUCAAU
rnacentral:rRNA from 1 species